GAACGCACAUUGCGCCCCUUGGUAUUCCGGGGGGCAUGCCUGUUCGAGCGUCAUUACAACCCUCAAGCUCUGCUUGGUCUUGGGCGUCACCGGUCCCCGGUGUGCCUUAAAAUCAGUGGCGGCGCCAUCUGGCUCUAAGCGUAGUACAUACUCUCGCUACAGACGUCCGGUGGAUGCUGGCCAGCAACCCCCAAUUUAUCAAGGUUGACCUCGGAUCAGGUAGGGAUACCCGCUGAACUUAAG
rnacentral:misc_RNA from 1 species